rnacentral:sRNA from 1 species
CUUUCCCCGCAGGGCUGGGGGUCCGCUGUUUCCCCGCGCCGCUGCCGAGGCCCCGCUGUCCGCGUCCUGGCCGUGUGUCCACACCCCAGACUGCGGGCCGGGGCGCACUCUGUCUUCUUGCGCGGAGCGUCCGAGGCCUGAGGGGGCCAGAAGCAAACUCCAGCCCUCCCCGUGUCUACUGCUCGCUGAGGAAGCCGCAGGUGCACACUGGAUCCACAAGGCACAGAACCAUCUUCGCCCUCGGCAAGCCCCCGCUUCCGCCAGGGCAGACGGCCUCAGGUGACAAUGGGUUUUCCCUUCACUGGAGUUUAAAAUAAACCAGACUCCUCAGCAACUCCUGCUUCCAGAAUCAAAAAUAAGUGUCUCUGGGGCCCAAGGUAGGGGGUGAGGGGGACAUACCAGUAGCUUCCACCAGAGGUGGGGCGGGGCGGGGCAGGGCACCAGCGGAGAAAACAUGCGGGCAAACACACACGGCCUGGGGAAAACCCCCUGAAGCCGAUGGAGACUUGCCUUUGCUCAAGGCCUUUCCUGAGAGCUUAGUGGUGGGAGGGGUCCC